AUUGCGGGAUCCUCCGGGAGUA
rnacentral:misc_RNA from 1 species